rnacentral:rRNA from 1 species
UACGGAGGGUGCGAGCGUUGUCCGGAAUCAUUGGGCGUAAAGGGCGCGUAGGUGGCCCCUCAAGCGUGCGGUGAAAGUCAGGGGCUCAACCCCUGAUCGGCCGUGCGAACUGGGGAGCUUGGGCACUGUAGAGGCAGGCGGAAUUCCGGGUGUAGCGGUGGAAUGCGUAGAGAUCCGGAAGAACACCGGUGGCGAAGGCGGCCUGCUGGGCAGUUUUGCUGACACUGAGGCGCGACAGCGUGGGGAGCAAACAGG